rnacentral:rRNA from 1 species
UACGUAGGUGGCAAGCGUUGUCCGGAAUUAUGGGGCGUAAAGCGCGCGCAGGUGGUUUCUUAAGUCUGAUGUGAAAGCCCACGGCUCAACCGUGGAGGGUCAUUGGAAACUGGGGAACUUGAGUGCAGGAGAGAAGAGUGGAAUUCCACGUGUAGCGGUGAAAUGCGUAGAGAUGUGGAGGAACACCAGUGGCGAAGGCGACUCUUUGGCCUGUAACUGACACUGAGGCGCGAAAGCGUGGGGAGCAAACAGG